rnacentral:rRNA from 1 species
UACAGAGGGUGCGAGCGUUGUCCGGAAUCACUGGGCGUAAAGGGCGCGUAGGUGGCGCCCCAAGUCCGUGGUGAAAGCUCGAUGCUCAACAUCGAGUCGGCCACGGAAACUGGGGGGCUCGAGCACUGUAGAGGCAGAUGGAAUUCCGGGUGUAGCGGUGGAAUGCGUAGAGAUCCGGAAGAACACCGGUGGCGAAGGCGGUCUGCUGGGCAGUAGCUGACACUGAGGCGCGACAGCGUGGGGAGCAACAGGA